ACAGGCGUGUAAACAGAUCAUUAAAAUGCAAUGUCGCAAGGGCUCUGGGAGAGUCACAGACAAGGAGCACAGGGCAGGAAGUGACUAACUCACCCUGGGAGACGUCUCACAGAAGAAGUACUGUUCAACACGAGCCUGGAAAGCAUCCUGAUGAAUCCAAUAACUUUGGCUGGUGUUGCUUCUAAGCUGCCUGGACCAGAAAGAAGCAGCCGCUUUCCACUGAGAGCCAGAAGCCAAAAUCCGAACUGUUGUCGUGAGGUCACAAGGGUGAUCUCAUAUACGGUGCCAUCUAUUCCAUCUCAGGCCAUUCCUGUGCAGCUGCUUCGAGCUAAAACUCCUCCACGCUCCACUUCUGAUUUUCCAGGGUUUCCCUGUCUGUCAGUUUCAGCCUGCCCCCUCCUGUUAUUUUUAGAUUUGAUUUUAGUCCUUAUAAAGGGCCAGGGGUGAGGAUAGGGAGAAAAUUUUCUUCAUUUUAAUUAAAAGCAGAUGACAAAGAC
rnacentral:lncRNA from 1 species